GGGAGCACAGUAGGGAAUCUUCCACAAUGGACGCAAGUCUGAUGGAGCAACGCCGCGUGAGUGAAGAAGGUUUUCGGAUCGUAAAGCUCUGUUGUUGGUGAAGAAGGAUAGAGGCAGUAACUGGUCUUUAUUUGACGGUAAUCAACCAGAAAGUCACGGCUAACUACGUGCCAGCAGCCGCGGUAAUACGUAGGUGGCAAGCGUUGUCCGGAUUUAUUGGGCGUAAAGCGAGCGCAGGCGGAAUGAUAAGUCUGAUGUGAAAGCCCACGGCUCAACCGUGGAACUGCAUCGGAAACUGUCAUUCUUGAGUGCAGAAGAGGAGAGUGGAAUUCCAUGUGUAGCGGUGGAAUGCGUAGAUAUAUGGAAGAACACCAGUGGCGAAGGCGGCUCUCUGGUCUGCAACUGACGCUGAGGCUCGAAAGCAUGGGUAGCGAACAGGAUUAGAUACCCUGGUAGUCCAUGCCGUAAACGAUGAGCGCUAGGUGUUGGGGACUUUCCGGUUCUCAGUGCCGCAGCAAACGCAUAAGCGCUCCGCCUGG
rnacentral:rRNA from 1 species